rnacentral:rRNA from 1 species
UGGGGAAUAUUGCACAAUGGGCGGAAGCCUGAUGCAGCGACGCCGCGUGGGGGAUGAAGGCCUUCGGGUUGUAAACUCCUUUCGACAGGGACGAAGCUUUUGUGACGGUACCUGUAUAAGAAGCACCGGCUAACUACGUGCCAGCAGCCGCGGUAAUACGUAGGGUGCGAGCGUUGUCCGGAAUUACUGGGCGUAAAGAGCUCGUAGGUGGUUUGUCGCGUCGUAUGUGAAAUUCCGGGGCUUAACUCCGGGCGUGCAGGCGAUACGGGCUGACUUGAGUGCUGUAGGGGAGACUGGAAUUCCUGGUGUAGCGGUGAAAUGCGCAGAUAUCAGGAGGAACACCGAUGGCGAAGGCAGGUCUCUGGGCAGUAACUGACGCUGAGGAGCGAAAGCAUGGGUAGCGAACAGG